rnacentral:antisense_RNA from 1 species
AGACACACAGAGAGGACAGAUGAUGAGAAGACAGAGAGAAGACAGCCGUCUAUAAGCCAAGGAAUGCCAGAGCUCCUGGAAGCUGGGAGAGAGGCAGGGACAGAUCCUCCCGCACUGUCUCAGAAGGAACCAGCCCUGCAGACACCUUGAUGUCGGCUUUCAGCCUCCAGAGCUGUGAGACCAUACAUUUCUGAUGUCUAAGCUGCCCAGUCUGUGGCAGUUUGUGACCUCAGCCCCAGGAAACCAGUACAAAGAGCUUAAGGAGCUGAACCCAGGGAGUUGGGCAGCAAGGCAGCACCAUGCUGACAGCAGGGGUUGGCUCCCCCAGGGCAUAGAGGAUGCCCAGUGGGGAGGCCCCACUUCCUCCAGGUCCUGCAGUGCCUGCUCUCAGGUCAUGCCCAUCCACAGCGGGGUGCUGAAUGCACUGCACAUCCUACAUACGCCAAAACGGCCAAGGCGUGCACAGGAUUCAGCAUCAGGCUCACUGCUGCUAGGAAGUGCCACCGCCAAGGGGACAGGAGGCUGGGAGAGACAUGCAGGCUCAUUUUCAUCUCCAAACACCCCAAACAGGAAGCCUAGAGAGACAACCACAGAUGCAGGGCAUCAGCCCCACGGAUGCCUGGGGUCCCACGCAGACGCAGGGCAUCAGCCCCACGGACGCCUGGGGUCCCACGCAGACGCACGGCAUCAGCCCCACGGACGCCUGGGGUCCCACGCAGACGCAGGGCAUCAGCCCCACGGACGCCUGGGGUUCCACGCAGACACAGGGCAUUGGCACCAUGGGUGCCCGGCAUCCCACCCAGUUGUGAGGCACCAGCAUCAAGGAUGCCCAGGGUCCCCCCAGACACAGGGCAUGGGCACCACAGAGACGCCUGGUGUCCCACCCAGCCCAGGGUGGCUUUCAGCCAAGCCUCCCCAAAUGAUCCAUAAACCCAAUUUCAUAAACAAAGGCACAUUUUUUCAAAAGAAAACUGAGACUAUUUUGUGGCGAUAGCCUUCAGGGUUGGAAAGAAAAUAAGAGUCUGCAAAUUUAGUUUUUCCAUUAAACUACAGGGAUAACAAUUAUUCCUUUUGAGAAACAUUGAGUCCAAAGAAAAGUUUUGAUUUUUUGAUCAUGUAACUUGGAUUCCAAGACUGCUACACACUUCUGGUUCCCCCCCAAAAAACUAAAAAAAAGAUGAACUCA